rnacentral:rRNA from 1 species
GAUGAACGCUGGCGGCGUGCCUAAUACAUGCAAGUCGAGCGAACAGAUAAGGAGCUUGCUCCUUUGACGUUAGCGGCGGACGGGUGAGUAACACGUGGGUAACCUACCUAUAAGACUGGAAUAACUCCGGGAAACCGGGGCUAAUGCCGGAUAACAUUUAGAACCGCAUGGUUCUAAAGUGAAAGAUGGUUUUGCUAUCACUUAUAGAUGGACCCGCGCCGUAUUAGCUAGUUGGUAAGGUAACGGCUUACCAAGGCAACGAUUCGUAGCCGACCUGAGAGGGGGAUCGCCCACAUGGGAGCUUGGACACGGUCCAGGCUCCUACGGGAGGCAGCAGUAGGGAAUCUUCCGCAGAGGGCGAAAGCCUUACGGAGCAACGCCGCGUCAGUGAUGAAGGUCUUCGGUUCGUAAUACUCUGUUAUUAGGUAAGAACAAAUGUGUAAGUAGCUGUGCACGUCUUGACGGUACCUAAUCAGAAAGCCACGGCUAACUACGUG